GGGAUAACUACUGGAAACGGUAGUUAAUACCGCAUAACGUCGCAAGACCAAAGAGGGGGGACCUUCGGGCCUCUUGCCAUCAGAUGUGCCCAGAUGGGAUUAGAUAGUAGGUGGGGUAAUGGCUCACCUAGGCGACGAUCCCUAGCUGGUCUGAGAGGAUGACCAGCCACUCUGGAAGUGAGACACGGUCCAGACUCCUACGGGAGGCAGCAGUGGGGAAUAUUGCACAAUGGGCGCAAGCCUGAUGCAGCCAUGCCGCGUGUGUGAAGAAGGCCUUCGGGUUGUAAAGCACUUUCAGCGAGGAGGAAGGUGGUGAACUUAAUACGUUCAUCAAUUGACGUUACUCGCAGAAGAAGCACCGGCUAACUCCGUGCCAGCAGCCGCGGUAAUACGGAGGGUGCAAGCGUUAAUCGGAAUUACUGGGCGUAAAGCGCACGCAGGCGGUUUGUUAAGUCAGAUGUGAAAUCCCCGGGCUCAACCUGGGAACUGCAUUUGAAACUGGCAAGCUAGAGUCUCGUAGAGGGGGGUAGAAUUCCAGGUGUAGCGGUGAAAUGCGUAGAGAUCUGGAGGAAUACCGGUGGCGAAGGCGGCCCCCUGGACGAAGACUGACGCUC
rnacentral:rRNA from 1 species